rnacentral:rRNA from 1 species
AUUGAACGCUGGCGGCAGGCCUAACACAUGCAAGUCGAGCGGAUGAGUGGAGCUUGCUCCAUGAUUCAGCGGCGGACGGGUGAGUAAUGCCUAGGAAUCUGCCUGGUAGUGGGGGACAACGUUUCGAAAGGAACGCUAAUACCGCAUACGUCCUACGGGAGAAAGUGGGGGAUCUUCGGACCUCACGCUAUCAGAUGAGCCUAGGUCGGAUUAGCUAGUUGGCGAGGUAAAGGCUCACCAAGGCGACGAUCCGUAACUGGUCUGAGAGGAUGAUCAG